rnacentral:rRNA from 1 species
AGUGAACGCUGGCGGUAGGCCUAACACAUGCAAGUCGAACGGCAGCACAGUAAGAGCUUGCCCUUACGGGUGGCGAGUGGCGGACGGGUGAGGAAUACAUCGGAAUCUACUUUUUCGUGGGGGAUAACGUAGGGAAACUUACGCUAAUACCGCAUACGACCUACGGGUGAAAGCAGGGGAUCUUCGGACCUUGCGCGAUUGAAUGAGCCGAUGUCGGAUUAGCUAGUUGGCGGGGUAAAGGCCCACCAAGGCGACGAUCCGUAGCUAGUCUGAGAGGAUGAUCAGCCACACUGGAACUGAGACACGGUCCAGACUCCUACGGGAGGCAGCAGUGGGGAAUAUUGGACAAUGGGCGCAAGCCUGGUCCAGCCAUACCGCGUGGGUGAAGAAGGCCUUCGGGUUGUAAAGCCCUUUUGUUGGGAAAGAAAAGCAGCAGGUUAAUACCCCGCUGUUCUGACGGUACCCAAAGAAUAAGCACCGGCUAACUUCGUG